rnacentral:rRNA from 1 species
UAAAAUUUAAAAUUAUCAUACUAAAAUAGUAAAUAAUUAUUUAUUGAAACUUAAAUAAUUUGGCGGUAUUUUAGUUCAUUUAGAGGAAUCUGUUUAAUAAUUGAUAUUCCACGAUUAAAUUUACUUAAUUUAUAAUUUUGUAUAUCGUUGUUAUAAAAAUAUUUUCUAAUAAAAUUAAUAUUUAAAAAUUAUUACAUAAAUUUAAAUCAGAUCAAGAUGCAGAUUAUAAUUAAGAAUAUAAUGGAUUACAAUAAAAUUAUUUAAAUGAAUAUUAAUUUGUAAAAAUUAAUUGAAAGUGGAUUUAAAUGUAAUUUUAUUUAUUUUAAUAAAAUGAUUAAAAAUUAAAAUAUGU